GAUGAACGCUGGCGGCGUGCCUAAUACAUGCAAGUCGAGCGAACGGACGAGAAGCUUGCUUCUCUGAUGUUAGCGGCGGACGGGUGAGUAACACGUGGAUAACCUACCUAUAAGACUGGGAUAACUUCGGGAAACCGGAGCUAAUACCGGAUAAUAUUUUGAACCGCAUGGUUCAAAAGUGAAAGACGGUCUUGCUGUCACUUAUAGAUGGAUCCGCGCUGCAUUAGCCAGUUGGUAAGGUAACGGCUUACCAAGGCAACGAUGCAUAGCCGACCUGAGAGGGUGGUCGGCCACACUGGAACUGAGACACGGUCCAGACUCCUACGGGAGGCAGCAGUAGGGAAUCUUCCGCAAUGGGCGAAAGCCUGACGGAGCAACGCCGCGUGAGUGAUGAAGGUCUUCGGAUCGUAAAACUCUGUUAUUAGGGAAGAACAUAUGUGUAAGUAACUGUGCACAUCUUGACGGUACCUAAUCAGAAAGCCACGGCUAACUACGUG
rnacentral:rRNA from 1 species